rnacentral:rRNA from 1 species
GUCAAAUAUAUUAAAGUUUAUGAUGGAUACCUAGGCAUUUAGAGUCGAUGAAGGGCGUGGAUACCUACGAAAUGCUUCGGUUAGUUGGAAACAAACUUUGAUCCGAAGAUUCCCGAAUAGGAAAACCUAUAUAACUACUUAGUAAAUUCAUAAUUAAGUAAGAGACAACCUGCUGAAUUGAAACAUCUUAGUAAGCAGAGGAAAAGAAAGCAAACGCGAUUUCCUUAGUAGCGGCGAGCGAAACGGAAAUAGUCUAAUCAUUAAAAAAAAACUAUUAAACGAAGCAGCUGAAUCCUGCACCAUAGAUGGUGAAAGUCCAGUAGUUUAAAAUAGAAAAAAUGAUUAUAAAGUAGCAUGGAACACGUGAAAUUCCGUGUGAAUAUACGAGGACCACCUCGUAAGACUAAAUACUCCUAAAUGACCGAUAGUGAAACAGUACCGUGAGGGAAAGGUGAAAAAGAACCCCUGUAGGGGAGUGAAAAAGAACAUGAAAUCGUAAACUGACAAUCAGUGGGAGCUAAAGUGACCGCGUGCCUGUUGAAGAAUGAGCCGGCGACUUAUAGGUAGUGGCUUGGUUAAAAUAACUUUUUGGAGCCAAAGCGAAAGCAAGUCUGAUAAGGGCGUAUGUCACUAUUUAUAGACCCGAACCCGAGUGAUCUAACCAUGGCCAGGAUGAAUCUUGGGUAACACCAAGUGGAAGACCGAACCGACUGAUGUUGAAAAAUCAGCGGAUGAGCUGUGGUUAGGGGUGAAAUUCCAGUCGAACUCGGAGCUAGCUGGAUCUCCUCGAAAUGUGUUGAGGCGCAGCGGUUGAUGAUGGGCUAUUUAGGGGUAAAGCACUGUUUCGGUGCGGGCUGCGAAAGCGGUACCAAAUCGUGGCAAACUAAGAAUACUAAAUAUGCUUUCCAUCAACCAGUAAGACAGUGGGGGAUAAGCUUCAUUGUCAAAAGGGAAACAGCCCAGAUCACCAGUUAAGGCCCCAAAGUGAUGGCUAAGUGAUAAAGGAAGUAAAAAGGCAAAGACAACCAGAAGGUUUGCUUAGAAGCAGCCAUCCUUGAAAGAGUGCGUAAUAGCUCACUGGUAGAGCCUUUUUGCGCCGAAAAUGAACGGGGCUAAGUCAUCCGCCGAAACUGUGGGUACAGUUUUAACUGUUACGGUAGAGGAGCGUUCCGUUAUAGGGUGAAGUUAAGAUGUGAAUUUUAAUGGACGAAACGGAAGUGAGAAUGUCGGCUUGAGUAACGAAAACAUUGGUGAGAAUCCAAUGCCCCGAAAACCUAAGGGUUCCUUCACAAGGUUCGUCCAUGGAGGGUUAGUCAGGACCUAAGGCGAGAUCGAAAGGUGUAGUCGAUGGAAAACAGGUUAAUAUUCCUGUACUUGAUUUUAUUUGAUAAAGAGGGACGAAGAAGGCGGUAACUAGCUAGAUAUUGGUAUUCUAGUAGAAGUAUUGGAUUCUUAAAAGAAUGAAAAAAAACUUUCUUUAGAAAACAUGCGAUCUAACUGGUACUCUAUUCUAUAGAGUUCUGGUUUAGUUUUAGUCAUACUUCCAAGAAAAGCUUUUGUUAUCGUUAAAUUAAAUCAACCUGUACCCUAAACUGACACAAGUAGGUAGGUAGAGAAUACUAAGGGGCGCGAGAUAACUCUCUCUAAGGAACUCGGCAAAAUGGCCCCGUAACUUCGGGAGAAGGGGUGCCUACAUUAUGUAGGCCGCAGUGACCAGGCCCAGGCGACUGUUUAUCAAAAACACAGGUCUCCGCAAAGUCGUAAGACAAUGUAUGGGGGCUGACGUCUGCCCAGUGCCGGAAGGUAAAAGAAGUUGGUUAUUCUUCGGAAAAAGCUGACGACUGAAGCCCCGGUGAACGGCGGCUGUAACUCUGACAGUCCUAAGGUAGCGAAAUUCCUUGUCGAGUAAGUUUCGACCCGCACGAAAGACGUAACGAUCUGGGCACUGUCUCGGAGAGAGACUCGGUGAAAUAGAAAUGUCUGUGAAGAUGCGGACUACUUAUACCAGGACAGAAAGACCCUAUGAAGCUUGACUGUAAUUUGGAAUUGGGUUCGGGCUUUUUUUGCGCAGUCUAGGUGGGAGGCGUUGAUAUUAAGUUUUCGGACUUAAUGGAGCCAUCAGUGAGAGACCACUCUAAAAGAGCUAGAAUUCUAAUAGGACUCCUUGAAUCAGGAUCCUUGACAGUUUCAGAUGGACAGUUUGACUGGGGCGGUGACCUCCCAAAAGGUAACGGAGGUGUGCAAAGGUUCCCUCAAGCUGGACGGAAAUCAGCUGUAGAGUGCAAAGGUAUAAGGGAGCUUGACUGCAAGACCAACAAGUCGAGCAGAGGCGAAAGCCGGCCUUAGUGAUCCGACGGUUCCGAGUGGAAGGGCCGUCGCUCAACGGAUAAAAGUUACUCUAGGGAUAACAGGCUGAUCUCCCCCAAGAGUUCACAUCGACGGGGAGGUUUGGCACCUCGAUGUCGUUUCAUCGCAACCUGGGGCUGGAGUAGGUCCCAAGGGUUGGGCUGUUCGCCCAUAAAAGCGGUACGUGAGAUGGGUUCAGAACGUCGCGAGACAGUUCGGUCCAUAUCCGGUAUAAGCGUAAGAGCAUUGAGAGGAUCUCAACAUUGUACGAGAGGACCCGAAGGGACGUACCGAUGGUGUACCAGUUCUUAUGCCAAUAGGAAACGCUGGGUAGCUAUGUACGGAGUGGAUAAUCGCUGAAAGCAUUUAAGUGAGAAGCCCACCUCAAGAUGAAUGCUCUCUAUCAGAUCGCGGCAAGACAAGCCGAUAGAUUGGCAUCAAGUGUAAGAUUAGUAAUAAUUUCAGCUGAGAUGUACAAAGGAUCGAUUGAUUUUGAC